UCUUCCCUGUUGAGAGGAGAGAGUGAAGGGUCUUCCCUGUUGAGAGGAGAGAGUGAAGGGUCUUCCCUGUUGAGAGGUGAGUGAAGGGUCUUCCCUGUUGAGAGGAGAGAGUGAAGGGUCUUCCCUGUUGAGAGGAGAGAGUGAAGGGUCUUCCCUGUUGAGAGGAGAGAGUGAAGGGUCUUCCCUGUUGAGAGGAGAGAGUGAAGGGUCUUCCCUGUUGAGAGGAGAGAGUGACGGGUCUUCUCUGUUGAGAGGAGAGAGUGAAGGGUCUUCCCUGUUGAGAGGUGAGUGAAGGGUCUUCCCUGUUGAGAGGAGAGAGUGAAGGGUCUUCCCUGUUGAGAG